UCGGCCGUGAGGUCGAAUCUGAAGGAAGCCGGAGGCAAAUGCACGGACCAAGGUACACGAACCCAAUUCGAGGCAGUGUUAGUCGGAUGAGUCUCCUUGACAAGACGAAAUCCGAAGCCGCCAAGGACUAACGCUGUAAACUUGGGUGGUCACGGGCAGACAGAUGACGUU
rnacentral:ncRNA from 1 species